CCUGAAGAUACCUUCCUGUGCAGUGUCCACACAGAUUGUCUGAUAGAAGUAAUGAGCAAGGCGCCUGCGAAGUCGCGACACACCGUGUCCCCUUCGUCUAGCGGUUAGGACUCCGCCCUUUCACGGCGGCAACAGGGGUUCGAAUCCCCUAGGGGACGCCACUUGCUUGGUGACAGGUGGAAGGUGUCGCUAAAAUAUCUUAAAGCUGACUGCAAAGUCAGGUUUAAGAUAUUGCUCUUUAACAAUCCGGAACAAGCUGAAAAUUGAAACGACAUGUCGUGUUCAUUCUCCGUAAUAAGAAUGAAACCACGAUAUGUUCGAGUCUCUUCAAUGCCUGCAACCGACGAACGUCUUUCGGGACGCUUGUGGGUUGUGA
rnacentral:misc_RNA from 1 species